GGUGAUGCUGAAAUUCAUCAUGGACCACCUGCCAUCCCAGGUGUAUGAUGCUAAAGUGGUGAUCAAAAGUUCUGGCACCUCUGAUGUAGCACCUGAUAGUCAGAGAAACAUGAAGCAGCCCACAGGACAUGUUUCCAUUCUGAUGAGUGAGGAGCCAAGCCUGUAAUUUGUCCGCCAUACCCAUCCUUCACACACCACCCCUGGCAGCAAGUUCUUCUUCAGUUACUGCAAAAAUUGUCUAUUGUUCUUCAUAAGCUUCUGCCCAAGGGAGGACACAAGCAGUUAUUAAGCUCCUACUUUGUACCAUUGGUUUUGCAAAUCAAUCGUCAUGAUAACCCUGGAAGAUGCUGUAUAUACCUGACUAAGCCAAGACUUCAAGAUGGCAUCUUUGGGAAAUUGGUGAUUAAAAUGUUUGAACUUGAUUAGAUUCUGGAAAACUAGGUCCCCAAAGAAUGAAUUACUGUGUUCUA